CCUCUCGCUCCUGACUCCUCCCUCUGCCCAAAUCUAGCGCUCUUGCCUUUAUUUUACAAAUUCAGAGAGAACUCCAAGGCAAACCACAACACAUCUCUUUUAAAGACCUGUAUAGGUUCCCCGUUGUGGCCUGUGAUGGUAGGGCCCCUGGGAGGAAGUGGAUUGGAGCACCCAUUUUGACCCUCAUCCUAGGUGCCUUCCUGGAAGUCAGCAUUCUGCUAGCAGCCUCCAGAUGAAGAUGUAGACCUCUCAGCUCCUCCAGCACCAUUGCCUGCCUGGAUGCUGCCAUGUUCCCACCUUGAUGAUAAUGGACUGAAUCUCUGAACCUGAAAAGCUGUCAGACUUGGGUCUGCCAGGCGAAGACCUACGUUGCCCUGUGUGACAGCUGAAGACCUGUCACUGCCCCCACAAAGCCAUCAAGACCACAGGAAUCUAGGACAACCAUCCAGGUAGUAGCAAAGACAUCAGGACAACAGGCAGAAAAGAAUGUUGGCCUCUUUUGGCUCAAGGACAAAAGGCCCCACUAUCAGAGCUCUCUCUCCCAAAGAGAUGCAUGCAGGUAUGUAAGAUCCUCUCUUGUUUCCCUGCAGGGGUCUGCUCUGCCCAUCACUGCUUCUUCAAUUUCACCAUCAGCCAAUCUAGCCCUCUCUGCAGGUGUCUUUCCUUUGCCUGACAACCACGUGCAAGGACUCCCAGCUUGGCAAACUGACCAGCCGACUUUGGCUCCUUUCCCUGGAUUCUGAGCUCAUUCCUUGGCCCGGAGCUUCACUGGAUGCUCUCCACUGCUAAUGAGCCCUCUUUAGGCUUCCUUCCAGGACCUCCCGCAUGUGGCACUUGUUGGAUACCUUUGUGUAAUGCAGCUCGAGCACACGGGGCCAGCCCCGAUGCAGUAGAGACCUUUAGGGGUCAGAAGUACAAAUAACUUGAACACAGAGGGGGAAUAGUCAAAAAGGUGAUGCCAAUGGCUAAUGGCAGGGCCAUUAUUGACACGGGGAAGUACAUGGCGAUGUACACUCGUGAGGUUUAUAGAACUAACAGUAAAGCAUAGGGAAGAUUAAUCAUGAUGUAGAAAUAUUUCAGUAUACGGAGAAAGGCUUUGGAGUUAGCCCAUACCAGGCUGCUGUGCUGGCUCUCUGUCAUUGCAUGAAGGGCUUGAACAAGUGACCUGAUCUCAGGUUUAUGAGCCUCAGUUUUGUCAUCUGAAAAACAGGGUUAUAGGACUGGCUCAGCAGUUAAGAGCACUUGCUGCUCUUUGAGAAGGCCUGGGUUUAAUUCUCAGCACCCACAUGGUGGCUUAUAAACUAUUUGUCAUUCCAGUUCUAGGGGAGCCAAUGACGUCUCUUGGCCUUCCAUAGGCUCUAGACACGCAUGUGUUGUACAGACAUGCAUGCGGACAAAGUACCUAUACAUAUAAAAUAAAUGUGUGUAUAUUAUGUAUGUAUGUAUGUAUAUGUGUGUAUGUGCAUGUGUAUAUGUAUGUAUAUAUGAAUUCUAGUUUCUUGUUCUUGACCCAGACUACUCUCGGGUAUGCUGCCAUGCAGAAUUCCUCAGGAGAACUAAGCCUAAGUCAUUUACAUGGGCAUUCAUGUGGUUUUGAGGGGCUUUGCUUCUUUUCUCUGUCCUCAUUGUUAUGACACCCUAAUCGUUUUACAUGGGUCCUUUCCUCACGGACUGCUUCCGGGAGUCCCUGUCAAGGCGUUGGUUCUGCUUAUUAAUUUUUGUUCUAAGCACCUGUAAUCUGUAGUUGGGGCAGGUGUAGGUCUGUAGGACAGCAGAGGUGUUCUCAGACUUAAGCAAAACCGGGUUCAGUGGGCCAGCAGGCAUCAAAUCACCAUGAUGAAAUUCUUCAGAAUGCUCAUCGCCCUCUUGUGGCAACCGAUCAUAUUGCAGGUGGUUGGAGCUCCAUCAUCCGGGAUCCUAAAAGAAUUUCUUUGGUGGGCAGCACUAACUUAAUGGAGUGAGCGACAACUCGUUAAGCCCCUUCUAGCUUACCAAAGGUUGUUACUGAGGCAUAACUGAACACAUCCUGUCAGGCACAGAUGGUGAGAGAGACACCUUAUGGACUGUGGGAUGGAAUGUUGUUAACAUCCUUUGGGGUCAAGAAAGCAAACAGAGGAGAGAGGUAAGUUUUAUUUUUUU
ensembl:lncRNA